rnacentral:tRNA from 1 species
GCGCGGGUGGUGGAAUUGGCAGACACGCAAGGUUGAGGGCCUUGUGGCCGCAAGGCUAUGCGAGUUCGAGUCUCGCCUCGCGCACCA